ACACGCAUGACACACUGCAUAUCAAUAAGCGGAGGAAAAGAAACUAACAAGGAUUCCCCUAGUAACGGCGAGUGAAGCGGGAAGAGCUCAAAUUUGAAAUCUUCAAGGGUUUCCCUUGACGAAUUGUAGUUUAAAGAAGUGUUUUCUGUUAGAGAGGUGGUAAAAGUUCUUUGGAAUAGGACAUCAUAGAGGGUGAGAAUCCCGUAUUUGAUCACUUUCUACUAACGUUGUGAUACACUUUCGAAGAGUCGGAUUGUUUGGGAAUGCAGUCCAAAAUGGGUGGUAAAUUUCAUCUAAAGCUAAAUAUUGGCGAGAGACCGAUAGCGAACAAGUACCGUGAGGGAAAGAUGAAAAGAACUUUGAAAAGAGAGUUAAACAGUACGUGAAAUUGUCAAAAGGGAAGCGUUUGACACCAGUGUUGUUUUCUCGAAAAUCAAUUAAAAAUGAUGGGAUUUUGUGUUGUAUUGACUUUAUCAGCUUUCUGCACUUUUUUCUUAUCUUUUUUAAUGCACUUUUCGUUUAACAAGUCAACAUCAAUUUCUUUUGUUGUAAAAGAGUCAUUGGAAGGUGGCUUUUUCUUCGGAAAAAGUGUUUAUAGCCUUUGGCUUCUGCAAUCGGAGAGAUUGAGGUCUGCAGCGUAGAUCCUUCGGGGUUAGAUACAUUUGUGCUAAGCUAUAGUUCUUUAUAGACAACUUGUUGACUAUAAUCAAUCCUGUAACUUACUCGCUUAUGCUAUUUUACCUACGCUUAGGAUGUUGAACUACUGAGACAUAGA
rnacentral:rRNA from 1 species